GAUGAACGCUGGCGGCGUGCUUAACACAUGCAAGUCGAACGGGAUCCGAGGCGCUUGCGUCUCGGUGAGAGUGGCGAACGGGUGAGUAAUACGUGACUAACCUGCCUCAUACAUCGGAAUAGCUCCUGGAAACGGGUGGUAAUGCCGAAUGCUCCAACCUUCCGCAUGGAUGGUUGGGAAAGCGUUAGCGGUAUGAGAUGGGGUCGCGUCCUAUCAGCUUGUUGGUGGGGUGAAGGCCCACCAAGGCUUCGACGGGUAGCCGGCCUGAGAGGGUGACCGGCCACAUUGGGACUGAGAUACGGCCCAGACUCCUACGGGAGGCAGCAGUGGGGAAUAUUGCACAAUGGGCGAAAGCCUGAUGCAGCGACGCCGCGUGCGGGAUGAAGGCCUUCGGGUUGUAAACCGCUUUUGAUUGGGAGCAAGCGAGAGUGAGUGUACCUUUCGAAUAAGCACCGGCUAACUACGUGCCAGCCGCCGCGGUAACAC
rnacentral:rRNA from 1 species